rnacentral:rRNA from 1 species
GAUACCCUAUUAUUUGAAAUGUAAAUUAUUAUGCUAGAGUAGUAGUAGUUAUGUUCUUGAAAUUCAAAAGAUCUGGCGGUAUUUUAGUCUAUUCAGAGGAACCUGUCCUGUAAUUGAUAAUCCACGAUUAAUUUAACUUAUUUUCAGUUUGUAUAUCGUCGUAGGUUGAAUGUUUUUAAAAAAAUUGUAAUGUUCAGGAUUUAUUUUAAUUAAAGAAAAUCAGAUCAAGAUACAGCGUAUAGAUGAGGAGAGAUGGGUUACAAUAAAUUUAUUUAUAUGGUUGAAAUAAUUAAAAUUAUUUUAUAAAGUGGAUUUGAUAGUAAUAUAAUUUAUUUAAAUUAUAUGAUUUAAGCUCUAAAAUAUGUACAUAUCGCCCGUCGCUCCUUCCUUAAAGAAGGAUAAGUC